rnacentral:rRNA from 1 species
GACGAACGCUGGCGGCGUGCUUAACACAUGCAAGUCGAACGAUGAAGAAGAGAAACGCGAACUUCGGUUCAAAUUUCACUUCGGAUUAGUGGCAGACGGGUGAGUAACGCGUGAGCAACCUACCUCUUACAAAGGGAUAGCCUCGGGAAACCGUGAUUAAUACCAUAUGACACAUUCAUAAGGCAUCUUAAGAAUGUUAAAGCUACGGCGGUAAGAGAUGGGCUCGCGACCCAUUAGCUAGUUGGUGAGGUAACGGCCCACCAAGGCGACGAUGGGUAACCGGCCUGAGAGGGUGAACGGUCACAUUGGAACUGAGACACGGUCCAAACUCCUACGGGAGGCAGCAGUGGGGAAUAUUGCACAAUGGAGGGAACUCUGAUGCAGCGACGCCGCGUGAGCGAUGAAGGAAUUCGUUUCGUAAAGCUCUGUUCUAUGGGAAGAAAAGGACUGUACCAUAGGAGAAAGCCCCGGCUAAAUACGUG